UGCCUACGGGGGGCAGCAGUGGGGAAUAUUGGGCAAUGGACGCAAGUCUGACCCAGCAACGCCGCGUGAAGGAAGAAGGCUUUCGGGUUGUAAACUUCUUUUAAGGGGGAAGAGCAGAAGACGGUACCCCUUGAAUAAGCCACGGCUAACUACGUGCCAGCAGCCGCGGUAAUACGUAGGUGGCAAGCGUUGUCCGGAUUUACUGGCUGUAACGGGCGUGCAGCCAGGCAGACAAGCCAGA
rnacentral:rRNA from 1 species